UGUUGAGAAGUAGAGAUCUCCACACUCAACAGCAGUGCCCAUCAAUGAAGGACCUGCUCUGCAGAUGCUAGAGGUGUAGGACCUCUAAUGAUGUCACAAUGAUGUGACUAGUACGUAUGGGGACAGAGAGCAGCAAGAGAAAAGAUUGCGGAUGAAGGACCUGUCAUGAUGAUGUGACAGGAGUGGGCAGAGCACAGCAGUAGGAGAGAAGAGUUUUUUUCCUAUGUAGACAGGAGCUUCACUAUGCAGCUAGGCCCCUCUCAGGAUAGUUAAGAUACAUAAAAAAAAUGAAGACCCCCAAGAGAGCAGUGCAAAAUGAGGAGGAUUAAGGUCCUCAAAGUGAUGCCAUUAUCAAUUAUUAACCAGCUUCCCCAAAGACAGAAUGUGCAGGAAGGUGAAGCCAAGUAUCUUCCACUCCUUUAUAUAACAAUGCUAUCUUUGAAGUUGGAGGCACAAGAUCUGAUUACCUGCCUAAGGCCAAGCCUUCAA